ACUCAAACAGGUAUUUGUACACGCAUGCUCAUACAGCAUUCGUCACAAAAGCUAAAAGGUGGAAGCCAUCCAACUGUCUACCAGCAGAUGAAUAGGUAAACAAACUGUGGUAUAUACAUACGAUGGAAUAUCUCAUCGGUCUUUAAAAGGGAUGAAAUACUGAUACACUACGGAAGUGCUGAUACUACAACAACAUGAAUGAAUCUUGGAGACGUUACGCUGUGAAAUCACCCAGUCACAGAAGGACAAAAACCAUAGAGUUCCACCCAUAACGAGCAUAACUAUUAAAUCCAAGAAGGCAGAGGAGGAGAAGAAGAAAAGACAAAACCAUGGAUAUCUCAGAUGUUAAAGGAUCUUUCCAGUGGGCCGGUGUUGUAAAGGCCACAUGCAUCCACUCAUCUUUGCAGAGAGGAUGAAUUGGAACCAGCUCCAGAGGUGACGGGUGUGUUUGGUGUGGCCAGUGCUCAUUUAACCUAUUUGAAUACUCAAGGGAAUGUAAUCAGAAAAGGCGGGAAUAGACUCCAUCCCCCCAGAAACUCAAGCUGAAAGGAGCUAAAAUAUCAAACAUGCAUUCUAAGGAAUCACUAUUGCUUCUCAGAAGGUUCUCUGCCCCUCUGUUUUUUCUAAAAGGCAUCCCAGUCU